AGAGACUCAUUGGGAACAGUCUGUGUUGUAUGUCCCUCCUGUAGCCGUUGAACAAGAUACUAUGGUAUCUGGGAAGUUGUGGAUACGUAAAGGCGAAGUGUAUCAUAGGUUUUUGGACAUAGAACUUGAAUAUGCCGUUUCUAGCACUGGAGAAAAGAGAAAAAUGAAGUUUAAAAUGAAAGAUUAAUGUAAUUAAUUUAUACCUUCAAUUUUAAUAAAAAUUGUUUUUUCCCUUA